rnacentral:sRNA from 12 species
GGCACAGAUACUGCAUAUGCUAGGGCGGAGCCCGGCGGUAUCGCCGGGGAAGCUGGCCUAGGGGCCGGCGUGAUGCUUC